rnacentral:tRNA from 1 species
CCUCUGGUAGCUCAGUUGGUAGAGCGGUGGACUGUAGUUGGUAUCUAGGGUGGUGUUUUAGAGCAGUUAUCCAUAGGUCGCUGGUUCAAAUCCGGCCCGGAGGA